AUUGAACGCUGGCGGCAGGCCUAACACAUGCAAGUAGAGCGGAGCGGCGGACGGAGGAGUAAUGCCUAGGAAUAUGCCUGGUAGUGGGGGAUAACGUCCGGAGACGGGCGCUAAUACCGCAUACUAUAGGCUGAGACUAGGUCGGAUUAUCUAGUGGGUGGGGUAAAGGCCUACAAAGGCGACGAUCCGUAAGUGGUCUGAGAGGAUGAUCAGUCACACUGGAACUGAGACACGGUCCAGACUCCUACGGGAGGCAGCAGUGGGGAAUAUUGGACAAUGGGCGAAAGCCUGAUCCAGCCAUGCCGCGUGUGUGAAGAAGGUCUUCGGAUUGUAAAGCACUUUAAGUUGGGAGGCGUUACCAACAGAAUAAGCACCGGCUAACUUCGUGCCAGCAGCCGCGGUAAUUC
rnacentral:rRNA from 1 species